rnacentral:misc_RNA from 1 species
GAUGAAGAACGUAGCGAAAUGCGAUAAGUAAUGUGAAUUGCAGAAUUCAGUGAAUCAUCGAAUCUUUGAACGCACAUUGCGCCCCGUGGUAUUCCGCGGGGCAUGCCUGUUCGAGCGUCAUUACACCACUCAAGCCUCGCUUGGUAUUGGGCAACGCGGUCCGCCGCGUGCCUCAAAUCGACCGGCUGGGUCUUCUGUCCCCUAAGCGUUGUGGAAACUAUUCGCUAAAGGGUGUUCGGGAGGCUACGCCGUAAAACAACCCCAUUUCUAAGGUUGACCUCGGAUCAGGUAGGGAUACCCGCUGAACUUAAGCAUAUCAAUAAGCGGAGGA